GAUGAACGCUGGCGGCGUGCCUAAUACAUGCAAGUCGAGCGAAUGGAUUAAGAGCUUGCUCUUAUGAAGUUAGCGGCGGACGGGUGAGUAACACGUGGGUAACCUGCCCAUAAGACUGGGAUAACUCCGGGAAACCGGGGCUAAUACCGGAUAAUAUUUUGAGCUGCAUGGUUCAAAAUUGAAAGGCGGCUUCGGCUGUCACUUAUGGAUGGACCCGCGUCGCAUUAGCUAGUUGGUGAGGUAACGGCUCACCAAGGCAACGAUGCGUAGCCGACCUGAGAGGGUGAUCGGCCACACUGGGACUGAGACACGGCCCAGACUCCUACGGGAGGCAGCAGUAGGGAAUCUUCCGCAACGGACGAAAGUCUGACGGAGCAACGCCGCGUGAGUGAUGAAGGCUUUCGGGUCGUAAAACUCUGUUGUUAGGGAAGAACAAGUGCUAGUUGAAUAAGCUGGCACCUUGACGGUACCUAACCAGAAAGCCACGGCUAACUACGUGCCAGCCGCCGCGGUAA
rnacentral:rRNA from 1 species